CCCGCGCCGGGCAGGGCCACGUGCACCGCGGUGCUCUCGCCAUCGCGGACGCGCAGCAGGGUCACCCCGGCUUCGUCCGCGUCGAGGGCGUGGGC
rnacentral:tRNA from 1 species